CGGAAGAAUUAUUGCUAAGGAACUCGGCAAAUUGACCCCGUAACUUAGGGAGAAGGGGUGCCUACGAGAGUAGGCCGCAGUGAAUAGGCUCAAGCAACUGUUUAUCAAAAACACAGGUCUCUGCUAAAGCGUAAGCUGAUGUAUAGGGGCUGACGCCUGCCCGGUGCUGGAAGGUUAAGGGGAAUAGUUAGCGCAAGCGAAGCUAUGAACUUAAGCCCCAGUAAACGGCGGCCGUAACUAUAACGGUCCUAAGGUAGCGAAAUUCCUUGUCGGGUAAGUUCCGACCCGCACGAAUGGCGUAAUGAUUUGAGCACUGUCUCGGCAAUAAAUCCGGUGAAAUUGUAGUGCAAGUGAAGAUGCUUGCUACCCGCGGUUGGACGGAAAGACCCCGUAGAGCUUUACUGUAGCUUAGCAUUGAAUUUCGGUAUUGUCUGUACAGGAUAGGUGGGAGACUUAGAAGCGAGGGCGUCAGCUUUCGUGGAGUCGUCCUUGGGAUACCACCCUGACAGUACUGGAAUUCUAACUGGAGGCCAUGAAUCUGG
rnacentral:rRNA from 1 species